rnacentral:antisense_RNA from 1 species
CUUUAUGGCGAUCUGCAUGGGCAGCCUUCGGGCUGGCCAUUUGUUCCUGUGGUAUUCCUACCCCGUGCAGUUCGCCACCAUC